GUCUACAGCCAUGCUACCCUGAACAAGCCCAAUCCCAUCUGAUCUUGGAAGCUAAGCAGGGUCGGGCCUGGUUAGUACUUGGAUGGAGACCACCUAGGAAGACCAGGUGCUAUAGGCG
rnacentral:rRNA from 1 species